AGCAGUCGCGGUAAUUCCAGCUCCAAUAGCGUAUAUUAAAGUUGUUGCAGUUAAAAAGCUCGUAGUUGAAUUUCGGGGUCAGUAGGUCGGUCGUGCCACUGGUAUGAACUGGUUUUACUGAUUCCUCCCUCUUGAAGAACUGUAAUGCCAUUAAUUUGGUGUUGCAGGGAAUCAGGACUGUUACUUUGAAAAAAUUAGAGUGUUUAAAGCAGGCUUUAGCUUGAAUACAUUAGCAUGGAAUAAUGAAAUAGGACGUUUGAUCCUAUUUUGUUGGUUUCUAGGAUUGACGUAAUGAUUAAUAGGGAUAGUUGGGGGCAUUAGUAUUCAAUUGUCAGAGGUGAAAUUCUUGGAUUUAUUGAAGACUAACUACUGCGAAAGCAUUUGCCAAGGAUGUUUUCAUUAAUCAAGAACGAAAGUUAGGGGAUCGAAGACGAUCAGAUACCGUCGUAGUCUUAACCAUAAACUAUGCCGACUAGGGAUCGGAUGAUGUUAAUUUUUUAAUGACUCA
rnacentral:rRNA from 1 species